CGGGUGAGUAAUACUUAGGAAUCUACCUAGUAGUGGGGAUAGGCUCGGGGAAACUCGAAUUAAUACCGCAUACGACCUACGGGAGAAAGGGGGCAACUUGUUGCUCUCGCUAUUAGAUGAGCCUAAGUCGGAUUAGCUAGAUGGUGGGGUAAAGGCCUACCAUGGCGACGAUCUGUAGCUGGUCUGAGAGGAUGAUCAGCCACACCGGGACUGAGACACGGCCCGGACUCCUACGGGAGGCAGCAGUGGGGAAUAUUGGACAAUGGGGGCAACCCUGAUCCAGCCAUGCCGCGUGUGUAGAAGAAGGCCUUUUGGUUGUAAAGUCACUUUAAGACAAGUGAAGAAGACUCCGUGGUUAAUAACCCACGGACGAUGACAUUAGCUCGCAGAAAUAAAGCACCGGCUAAACUCUGUGCCAGCAGCCGCGGUAAAUACAAGAGGGUGCAACGUACGUUAAAGUACGGUAACGUUAACGUACGGGUACGUAAACGUACG
rnacentral:rRNA from 1 species